UCAGACGUGGUGUACGGAACACCCUCGCUGCUUAUUGAAGGAGUGUGGGUGAAUAAAGCGAGGUAUCGGGGUUCGACUCCCCGCGUCCGAA